rnacentral:rRNA from 1 species
UACGUAGGGGGCAAGCGUUGUCCGGAUUUAUUGGGCGUAAAGAGCGUGUAGGCGGCCAUACAGGUCCGUUGUGAAAACUCGAGGCUUAACCUCGAGACGUCGAUGGAAACCGUAUGGCUAGAGUCCGGAAGAGGAGAGUGGAAUUCCUGGUGUAGCGGUGAAAUGCGCAGAUAUCAGGAAGAACACCCGUGGCGGAAGGCGGCUCUCUGGGACGGUACUGACGCUGAGACGCGAAAGCGUGGGGAGCGAACAGG